UCCCUGGUGACUCAGAUGGUAAAGAAUCUGCUUGCAAUGCAGAAAACUCAGGAUCGAUCCCUGGGUUGGGAA
rnacentral:tRNA from 1 species